AUUGAACGCUGGCGGCAGGCCUAACACAUGCAAGUCGAACGAGUGGCGGAAGGGUGAAUAAUGUCUGGGAAACUGCCUGAUGGAGGGGGAUAACUACUGGAAACGGUAGCUAACACCGAAUACCAUACGAUGUGACCAGAUUGGCUUAGCUAGUUGGUGGGGUAACGGCUCACCAAGGCGAAGAUCCUUAGCUGGUCUGAGAGGAUGACCAGCCACACUGUAACUGAGACACGGUCCAGACUCCUACGGGAGGCAGCAGUGGGGAAUAUUGCACAAUGGGCGCAAGCCUGAUGCAGCCAUGCCGCGUGUAUGAAGAAGGCCUUCGGGUUGUAAAGUACUUUCAGCGGGGAGGCGUUACCCGCAGAAGAAGCACCGGCUAACUCCGUGCCAGCAGCCGCGGUAAUAC
rnacentral:rRNA from 1 species